GCCGCCGCCGCCGCCGCCGCCCUGCGCGGCCGGGCCGUGUCCUGCUCGCACCCGAGCGCGCGCUCCUCCCUCGCCGGAGCCUGGGACCAGGGGCCGCACCCGCAGACAGAGUUUCACUCUUGUUGCCCAGGCUGGAAUGCAAUGACGUGAUCUCAGCUCACCGCAACCUCCACCUCCCAGCUGACUGGGACCUUCCUGAUGUUCUGUCCCCUCUGUGGAUGGGGCCUGGGUGUCCAGCCCAGAUGUCUGGGUUCUGCAUGAAGGAGGUGAAAAGAACAGAGCCCUUGCUGAAUGGCCUUGCGCAGCAGGGGCCCAGCUGAUUCUGGUGUCUGGUGGUCGGGCCAGGCUGAGAAGAGGAUGUGCUUUACUGACCGGCACUCUUCCCGGUACUGGGUUGGAGACAAGGCAUGAGAACCAAG